rnacentral:rRNA from 1 species
GGGGGGGGGGGGGGGGGGGGGGGGGGGGGGCGGGGGGGGGGGGGGGGGGCGGCGUGGGUGGGGGGGGCGGGUGGCGAACGGGGGAGUGACACGUGGGUAACCUGCCCUUGGCUUUGGGAUAACUUCAGGAAACUGGGGCUAAUACCGGAUAGGAGCUCCUGCUGCAUGGUGGGGGUUGGAAAGUUUCGGCGGUUGGGGAUGGACUCGCGGCUUAUCAGCUUGUUGGUGGGGUAGUGGCUUACCAAGGCUUUGACGGGUAGCCGGCCUGAGAGGGUGACCGGCCACAUUGGGACUGAGAUACGGCCCAGACUCCUACGGGAGGCAGCAGUGGGGAAUAUUGCACAAUGGGCGGAAGCCUGAUGCAGCAACGCCGCGUGCGGGAUGACGGCCUUCGGGUUGUAAACCGCUUUCGCCUGUGACGAAGCGUGAGUGACGGUAAUGGGUAAAGAAGCACCGGCUAACUACGUG